GCCUGGCAAAGCUGUGUCCAAGGAGGCAAAGAUUGGUCCGCAGCUCAGAGGAGAAGCCUGAGUGGAAACUAUAAAUCUGAGUCAUUUUGAAGCCUUGGGAAUGGAUCUGUACUCAAAGAAGGCUUCCUUAUGAUGGAAACCUGGUCUGGGUUGCUCACCACUGAACCUCCUCACACCUGGAGCCGUGCCUAGCACAAGGAGCUUACGUAUCCUCAGAAGAGAAGAAACAGAGACGAUUGCUGUCUUCAUUUUAGAGACAAAGAACCCGAGGCGUAGAGAGCCAGGAAAUGGAGGUAAUGACUUCUGCCCUGGAGGACUACAUGGCAUCUUCUAUGUUGAAACCACUUUCAAAGUUUUCAAAACUAUACACCCAUCAUGUAUCACUAAUAUAGCUCGAUAUACUACGGAUCACAGUCCUGACUUCAACUGUUAGUGUAAUGUCUCAUCAACACUGAGAACACGUUAUGUGGUGUUUUACUGUCAUGAACGAAACCUAUUUCCCCAGAAAAACUGGCAGAUAUUAGCAUUAAUCUGAUUUUUCAAAGAAGUUAAUUAUUUCCCAGAAUAAGUCACUGUGACUUAUCAAAGGGCCUUGGUUGGUGGGAAGUAAAGCCCAGACUGCAUUCUUGAAGCUGCUAGCCUUUGCCAGCUCAUUGCAAAUUGAGCAACACUGAUGAACCCACAGUUAAUCUAUGGAGUCAAAUGCAACUGGACACAAAUGCCUGGGGAUUUUCCCUGUGAGAUUCUCUUGCCCUUCUGGUGAUGGUGAAGGACAGCACUACCCAUGGCAGGGGCGGUCACUAGUCUCUGGCAUUUACUUGACCUUAUGGCUGCCAUGAACACCAGGCACAGCCUUUGCAGGAGGCACUGCUGCCUUCAGCCUGCCUGGCCUGGGGGCGCAGAGAGGAAAGGGAUAUGGGCUUUUGCAAAAGGCCCCUAGAGCAAAGUCAGACUGAUGGCAAAGGCUUGAGUGCUCGAUGGGCGAGGGAGAUGCUUUCGCUUCAAUUUUCACUGAGUAAUGAGGCGUACUGAGCAAAAUACACUUGUCCUUGGAAUGUGAGGCACACACGUGGCAGGCAUAAAGUUAUAAAAAGGAGGAGCUCCUUAGUCUGCUGAACUUAAAGACUUAUCUUGCCUUCCUGCUGUUAAUUCUUUACAGAGACUUCCUCUUCUCCAUUUCCCAGGGUUCUCCAUGGGGAUGUGCUUGAGGGAGAAUGAGCAGUUUAAGAGAAAAGAAUUCCUCCAGAGUGGGUUGUGGAGAGCACUGGAGAAGGUCUGGGCUGGAGCUAGAGAUUUACCUUGGCUAAAGAUAAGAGUCUGUGGUGUAUAUACACAAUGGAAUACCAUUCAGCCUUGAAAAAGAAGGAAAUAUGUCAUCAGUGGCAACAUGGAUGAACCUAGAAGACAUGCUAAGUGAAAUAAGCCAGGUACAGAAAUACAAAUACUGCAUGACCUCACUUAUAUACGGAAUCUUAAAAAGUCAAACUCACAGAAGCAAAUGGCAGAAUAGUGUUUAUCAGGGACUGGGGGUAGGGGUGGGGAGAUGGAGAUUGAAGAGAAAAAAACCCUUUGAAAAUGAUCCAUCAGAAACACUCAUUUGUGAUUUCCCCACAAUUGUGGUGCUCCAGGGAACCUUAAUGAUCAGUUACUGAGCCCUUAUUAUCUUCCUGGCUUUGUGCUAAGCCUCACUCACGUUCCCAACAGUCCUAUAAGAUAUUUUAAGUAUUAUAAUCCCCAUUUAUAAGGGGCAAAUGGAGCUUGAAGCCAUGGAGUAUGUAGGGGAAGGCGUGCUGCUGGUAAGUAAUACAGCUUCAGCCUUCUCUGAUCCUGGGGCCCCUCUCAUCUGUGAGCUCCUGCUCCCGUGCCCCCUGCCCAUCUUCCCAGGCUGGGGCUAGGGCUUGUCAAGCUGUACCCCGCCAGGCGGGGAUAUACAGGCACCUCAGGAGCUUGUCUCCAGCUGUCUGGACGCCAGAUCCCUACUGCCCCAUUCAUAUCCUGAGUUCAACAGGUCAGCGUAGGGUGUCAUUCUCUAUUGCUACAUUUCCCAGGGAGCAGAGAUAGCAAAAUGUCUCAGCACAAAGAUUAUGUAUUUCACUAAGCAAUUAUAAUUUCAACUAAAAUCAGCUGGGCGCAGUGGCUCACACCUGUAAUCCCAGGACUUUGGG
rnacentral:lncRNA from 10 species